UACGUAGGGGGCAAGCGUUGUCCGGAAUCAUUGGGCGUAAAGAGCGUGUAGGCGGCUUGGUAAGUCCGCUGUGAAAGUCCAGGGCUCAACCCUGGAAUGCCGGUGGGAACCGUCUGGCUAGAGUCCGGAAGAGGAGAGUGGAAUUCCUGGUGUAGCGGUGAAAUGCGCAGAUAUCAGGAAGAACACCCGUGGCUAAGGCGGCUCUCUAGUACGGUACUGACGCUGAGACGCGAAAGCGUGGGGAGCGAACAGG
rnacentral:rRNA from 1 species